AUGAAACACUCCUACGGGAGGCAGCAGUGGGGAAUAUUGGACAAUGGACCAAGAGUCUGAUCCAGCAAUUCUGUGUGCACGAUGAAGUUUUUCGGAAUGUAAAGUGCUUUCAGUUGGGAAGAAAAAAAUGACGGUACCAACAGAAGAAGUGACGGCUAAAUACGUGCCAGCAGCCGCGGUAAUACGUAUGUCACAAGCGUUAUCCGGAUUUAUUGGGCGUAAAGCGCGUCUAGGUGGUUAUGUAAGUCUGAUGUGAAAAUGCAGGGCUCAACUCUGUAUUGCGUUGGAAACUGUGUAACUAGAGUACUGGAGAGGUAAGCGGAACUACAAGUGUAGAGGUGAAAUUCGUAGAUAUUUGUAGGAAUGCCGAUGGGGAAGCCAGCUUACUGGACAGAUACUGACGCUAAAGCGCGAAAGCGUGGGUAGCAAACAGGAUUAGAAACCCUAGUAGUCCGAAGUUC
rnacentral:rRNA from 1 species